rnacentral:lncRNA from 1 species
CUCAAUUUUGCUGUGAACUUAUAACUGCUCCCCCAAACAAGUUAAUUCCUUAAAAAAAAAAAAAAAAGAAUGAAAAAGGAACUGAGAAUUCUCUCCAACAAAAGGUAAAAUGACAAGGAAUAUCAGGCUGAACUCCCUUCCGGAAAUGAAAGAAAUCAC